rnacentral:lncRNA from 1 species
GCUUACACAUUUCAUUUGAGCAAACAUUUUGUUACACCAGCUAUUCAAUUUGCUACUAAACAAUAAAGUGGUAAAGCAAUUAUUUCUUAAAUGCUAGAUUUAGUAUUAUAUAUUGAUGAUAAUAUGAUGCACCGGACAAGUGUUACUACUGAAGAUCUCUGUUUCUCAUGAAAAAAAAUAAGUGAAGCCGCUUCUCAAUCGGGGCUAGCAGCAAUCAGAUACAUGGGACUGCAAUAGAGCAGUUUCUUCUUUUGCUACCUGAAACUCAUUUCGUGAAAACAAGUGAAGCCUACUUCUCUCAAUAGGAUAGCUGAUGCAUUGAUAUUGAAAUACAACAUGGUAAUUGGUAACUGUAUUUCAGUUCCUUCUUUUGCUACGUAAAACUCGUUUUAUGAAAACCUGGAAAUACAUUCCAACUCAUCUUGGUUGUGUCGGCAAGAAGAGAGGAGCAAUAGCAGCGUGGCAACAGGCAGAGAGCAGCACCACGCCACUACCCUUGAGUCUCGUCUUGUUUUCAUGUAUGAUCAUAUCCAUGCAAUUUAAACUAUAUUCAUAAAAAAUGUUUCUUCUUAACUUCAAAAACCAACAUGCAUUAUUAAUAUAAUGUGAAUCCCAUAAAAGGCCGGUCUGAUAACAAGUAUUGAACACAAAAGGUACAGUCAACUAACAGAGAACAAUUGCCCAAUCAAUAAAAAAUAAGACACGUUUCAACUAAAAAACAAUGGAUCAAUGACCAUUUCCAGUAUAAGCAACAUGAAAAGACUACAUUCUAGUAAGCACAAUUUUCUUCGCAAAAUUCACAUCUAGCUGUACACUUCAGGUUAGAAAUUUUCUUCCCAAUAAGUAAAAUAGUCAUGUGCCAUAAUCAGUAUUUAUUAGGAAGCUAGUGUGCUGGAGACAUAGGUUGUAAUUAGCUAGAUAUUUUUAAGCAUGGUGAUUAUUUUAAUUUGCAACCACUACGCAUAAAAUUGGACACCUAGGGAUAGUUUCCCCGAAAGAAAAAAAUAAAAAUAAAGCAUUGCAUAGGAAAUUGUUUACCUGGAAUUGAGAUGUACACUGUGAUUGGUAUCCCUACACGGAUGAACGGAUCUGAACAACUCAGAUCGGAUCGCACGAGCAGCAGCAGGGUGGGUGCUCAGCCUCGUUGAGGAAAGUGGUGGGGUGGCUCGGCGCGGCGUCGUCGGAGGGGUCAUCGUCGGCGAAGAGCGACAUCAUCACGCUAGGACCGGCACAGCGCGGAUGCACCGAGGGACGUGGCCGAGCCGGUUCAGGAUCGCGGCGUGCCCUAUAAGUUGCGGCGGCAAUGGUGGCGAGAUCGAUCAACGGGUGCUCGUGCCCUGAUGGUGCGUCACCGACCACGAUGCUCACAGAGGCGGGAGAGACCUCACGGCGCUGCGGAGGCACGACGUUGGGUGCCACAGUCGGACCCUUGGCGUCGUCGACUUACCCCUCGGUGGCGUCAGACGGCCGUUUAUUUCCUUUUUUC